rnacentral:rRNA from 1 species
GAUGAACGCUAGCUACAGGCUUAACACGUGCAAGUAGAGGGGAAACGAUAUUGGAAGCUUGCUUCCGAUAGGCGUCGACCGGCGCACGGGUGAGUAACGCGUAUCCAACCUGCCCAUCACUUGGGGAUAACCUUGCGAAAGUAAGACUAAUACCCAAUGAUAUCUCUAGAAGACAUCUGAAGGAGAUUAAAGAUUUAUCGGUGAUGGAUGGGGAUGCGUCUGAUUAGCUUGUGGGCGGGGUAACGGCCCACCAAGGCUACGAUCAGUAGGGGUUCUGAGAGGAAGGUCCCCCACAUUGGAACUGAGACACGGGCCAAACUCCUACGGGAGGCAGCAGUGAGGAAUAUUGGUCAAUGGGCGAGAGCCUGAACCAGCCAAGUAGCGUGCAGGAUGACGGCCCUAUGGGUUGUAAACUGCUUUUAUAAGGGAAUAAAGUGGGAGUCGUGACUCCUUUUGCAUGUACCUUAUGAAUAAGGAUCGGCUAAUUCCGUGCCAGCAGCCGCGGUAA